rnacentral:rRNA from 1 species
GAUCAUUCCGGUUGAUCCUGCCGGAGGCCAUUGCUAUCGGGGUCCGAUUUAGCCAUGCUAGUCGUACGGGUUUAGACCCGUGGCGAAUAGCUCCGUAACACGUGGUCAAACUACCCUGUGGACCGGAAUAACCUCGGGAAACUGAGGCUAAUUCCGGAUACGGCUCUAUGCCUGGAAGGGCACGAGCCGGAAACGUUCCGACGCCACAGGAUGUGACUGCGGCCGAUUAGGUAGACGGUGGGGUAACGGCCCACCGUGCCAAUAAUCGGUACGGGUUGUGAGAGCAAGAACCCGGAGACGGAAUCUGAGACAAGA